GGGGGUGUAGCUCAGUGGUAGAGCGCAUGCUUAGCAUGCAUGAGGUCCUGGGUUCAAUCCCUAGCACCUCCA